AUUGAACGCUGGCGGAAUGCUUUACACAUGCAAGUCGAACGGCAGCACGGGUGCUUGCACCUGGUGGCGAGUGGCGAACGGGUGAGUAAUGCGUCGGAACGUACCGAGUAAUGGGGGAUAACGCAGCGAAAGUUGUGCUAAUACCGCAUACGCCCUGAGGGGGAAAGUGGGGGACCGCAAGGCCUCACGUUAUUCGAGCGGCCGACGUCUGAUUAGCUAGUUGGUGGGGUAAAGGCCUACCAAGGCGACGAUCAGUAGCGGGUCUGAGAGGAUGAUCCGCCACACUGGAACUGAGACACGGUCCAGACUCCUACGGGAGGCAGCAGUGGGGAAUAUUGGACAAUGGGCGCAAGCCUGAUCCAGCCAUGCCGCGUGAGUGAUGAAGGCCCUAGGGUUGUAAAGCUCUUUCAGCGAGGAGGAUAAUGACGUUACUCGCAGAAGAAGCCCCGGCUAACUUCGUGCCAGCAGCCGCGGUAAUACGAAGGGGGCUAGCGUUGUUCGGAAUCACUGGGCGUAAAGCGCACGUAGGCGGACUUUUAAGUCAGGGGUGAAAUCCCGGGGCUCAACCUCGGAACUGCCUUUGAUACUGGAAGUCUUGAGUCCGAGAGAGGUGAGUGGAACUCCGAGUGUAGAGGUGAAAUUCGUAGAUAUUCGGAAGAACACCAGUGGCGAAGGCGGCUCACUGGCUCGGUACUGACGCUGAGGUGCGAAAGCGUGGGGAGCAAACAGGAUUAGAUACCCUGGUAGUCCACGCCGUAAACGAUGGAAGCUAGCCGUCAGGGUGCAUGCAUCUUGGUGGCGCAGCUAACGCAUUAAGCUUCCCGCCUGGGA
rnacentral:rRNA from 1 species